rnacentral:rRNA from 1 species
AUUGAACGCUGGCGGCAGGCCUAACACAUGCAAGUCGAACGGUAACAGGAAGCAGCUUGCUGCUUUGCUGACGAGUGGCGGACGGGUGAGUAAUGUCUGGGAAACUGCCUGAUGGAGGGGGAUAACUACUGGAAACGGUAGCUAAUACCGCAUAACGUCGCAAGCCCAAAGAGGGGGACCUUCGGGCCUCUUGCCAUCGGAUGUGCCCAGAUGGGAUUAGCUAGUAGGUGGGGUAACGGCUCACCUAGGCGACGAUUCCUAGCUGGUCUGAGAGGAUGACCAGCCACACUGGAACUGGGACACGGUCCAGACUCCUACGGGAGGCAGCAGUGGGGAAUAUUGCACAAUGGGCGCAAGCCUGAUGCAGCCAUGCCGCGUGUAUGAAGAAGGCCUUCGGGUUGUAAAGUACUUUCAGCGGGGAGGAAGGGAGUAAAGUUAAUACCUUUGCUCAUUGACGUUACCCGCAGAAGAAGCACCGGCUAACUCCGUG